AGCGAACGCUGGCGGCAGGCCUAACACAUGCAAGUCGAACGGGCUCUUCGGAGCUAGUGGCGGACGGGUGAGUAACACGUGGGAACGUGCCUUUAGGUUCGGAAUAAGCCCGGGAAACUGGGUCUAAUACCGAAUGUGCCCUUCGGGGGAAAGAUUUACCGGCUUUAGAGCGGCCCGCGUCUGAUUAGCUAGUUGGUGAGGUAAUGGCUCACCAAGGCGACGAUCAGUAGCUGGUCUGAGAGGAUGACCAGCCACACUGGGACUGAGAAACGGCCCAAACUCCUACGGGAGGCAGCAGUGGGGAAUCUUGCGCAAUGGGCGAAAGCCUGAAGCAGCCAUGGCGCGUGGAUGAUGAAGGUCUUAGGAUUGUAAAAUCCUUUCACCGGUGAAGAUAAUGACUGUAGCCGGAGAAGAAGCCCCGGCUAACUUCGUGCCAGCCGCCGCGGUAAAAC
rnacentral:rRNA from 1 species